AUUGAACGCUGGCGGCAGGCCUAACACAUGCAAGUCGAGCGGAUGAAGGGAGCUUGCUCCUGGAUUCAGCGGCGGACGGGUGAGUAAUGCCUAGGAAUCUGCCUGGUUGUGGGGGAUAACGUCCGGAAACGGGCGCUAAUACCACAUACGUCCUGAGGGAGAAAGUGGGGGAUCUUCGGACCUCACGCUAUCAGAUGAGCCUAGGUCGGAUUAGCUAGUUGGUGGGGUAAAGGCCUACCAAGGCGACGAUCCGCAACUGGUCUGAGAGGAUGAUCAGUCACACUGGAACGGGGACACGGUCCAGAGUCCUGCGGUAGGCAGCAGUCGCCAAUAUUGGCCAAUGGGCGGAAGCCUGAUCCAGCCGUGCGGCGUGUGUGAAGAAGGUCUUCGGAUUGUAAAGCACUUUAAGUUGGGAGGAAGCGCAGUAAGUUAAUACCUUGCUGUUUUGACGUUACCGACUGAAUAAGCACCGGCUAACUUCGUG
rnacentral:rRNA from 1 species